rnacentral:lncRNA from 1 species
CUCCGAAGUGAGAGGUUGUGUUGGAUGUGGCUCCGUUGACAGACUGGUUGCUUCAUCGCCGAAGUUAAUUUCAGUCGACGUUUAGGCAUUCAGUUUCUAUAGUUAUUACUUUUUCGAGUAUCUUUUUGAUUGAAAUGAAAUAGUUUAUGGCAGCGUUAUGUAUACAUACUACUAGAAGUUAAACACAGUUUGUGUAUAACUAACACGAAGAUUAAGGCGAUAACUACCCAAUCGUGAAAAGAAAACUCACUCGCGGACGAAGCUGGAUAUCAACUCCGACGUUUUCUAUGCUGAAGAAAAAGAAAAGAAAAUGAGAAGGAAAUAAGAAGGGAAACUUUUCUAAAGAGAAAAUCCCUCUAACAAUCCCCAUUUAUGAAGUGAAACGUCAUCUGAGAGAGAAUGAAAUAGGGGAGAUGCAAUUGAAUUGAUAAGAUUAGAGAACUGUCUAAGAAAGCAAUACAAUGAGGAAAAACGCGACUUUUAGAUUCCCUGUCCAGGCUCAUUACUUGCCAGAAGAGGUCAACUUCUGGACAAUGGCGAUAGUGGCUGUGGGCACGGGCUUCAUAUUCACCGUCGCCGUGUCAAUCUACCUCAUCUGCCAGACGCGGCUGGAACGCCCGUUAGCUGUGCGACGCCCACGGACGGUGAGGCAUAUCAGCCAUGGGCCCGACGCCCUCCCGCUCGCCCACGCCCACACGCUGAGCGACGCGGGCGCCCGUCGCCAGUGCUUCCUUCCGCCCACUUCGCUUCUCCAGCGUCUCGAAGAAAAAGAAUAGAUGGUUGAG